CAAAUCUUUGCGAGUGCUGCGUCUACGUAGUAUCUCUCACAUUAGCACAAGGUCGCAAGGCCUUGAUGUUUACGCUUGUUUGUUUGACAGAGUUAGUUGUGACACAAUAAAAGA
rnacentral:misc_RNA from 1 species